rnacentral:rRNA from 1 species
CAGGCUUAACACAUGCAAGUCGAGGGGCAGCAUGGUCUUAGCUUGCUAAGGCCGAUGGCGACCGGCGCACGGGUGAGUAACACGUAUCCAACCUGCCGUCUACUCUUGGACAGCCUUCUGAAAGGAAGAUUAAUACAAGAUGGCAUCAUGAGUCCGCAUGUUCACAUGAUUAAAGGUAUUCCGGUAGACGAUGGGGAUGCGUUCCAUUAGAUAGUAGGCGGGGUAACGGCCCACCUAGUCUUCGAUGGAUAGGGGUUCUGAGAGGAAGGUCCCCCACAUUGGAACUGAGACACGGUCCAAACUCCUACGGGAGGCAGCAGUGAGGAAUAUUGGUCAAUGGGCGAGAGCCUGAACCAGCCAAGUAGCGUGAAGGAUGACUGCCCUAUGGGUUGUAAACUUCUUUUAUAAAGGAAUAAAGUCGGGUAUGGAUACCCGUUUGCAUGUACUUUAUGAAUAAGGAUCGGCUAACUCCGUGCCAGCAGCCGCGGUAAUACGGAGGAUCCGAGCGUUAUCCGGAUUUAUUGGGUUUAAAGGGAGCGUAGAUGGAUGUUUAAGUCAGUUGUGAAAGUUUGCGGCUCAACCGUAAAAUUGCAGUUGAUACUGGAUAUCUUGAGUGCAGUUGAGGCAGGCGGAAUUCGUGGUGUAGCGGUGAAAUGCUUAGAUAUCACGAAGAACUCCGAUUGCGAAAGCAGCCUGCUAAGCUGCAACUGACAUUGAGGCUCGAAAGUGUGGGUAUCAAACAGGAUUAGAUACCCUGGUAGUCCACACGGUAAACGAUGAAUACUCGCUGUUUGCGAUAUACAGCAAGCGGCCAAGCGAAAGCGUUAAGUAUUCCACCUGGGGAGUACGCCGGCAACGGUGAAACUCAAAGGAAUUGACGGGGGCCCGCACAAGCGGAGGAACAUGUGGUUUAAUUCGAUGAUACGCGAGGAACCUUACCCGGGCUUAAAUUGCAGAUGAAUUACGGUGAAAGCCGUAAGCCGCAAGGCAUCUGUGAAGGUGCUGCAUGGUUGUCGUCAGCUCGUGCCGUGAGGUGUCGGCUUAAGUGCCAUAACGAGCGCAACCCUUGUUGUCAGUUACUAACAGGUUCCGCUGAGGACUCUGACAAGACUGCCAUCGUAAGAUGUGAGGAAGGUGGGGAUGACGUCAAAUCAGCACGGCCCUUACGUCCGGGGCUACACACGUGUUACAAUGGGGGGUACAGAGGGCCGCUACCACGCGAGUGGAUGCCAAUCCCCAAAACCUCUCUCAGUUCGGACUGGAGUCUGCAACCCGACUCCACGAAGCUGGAUUCGCUAGUAAUCGCGCAUCAGCCACGGCGCGGUGAAUACGUUCCCGGGCCUUGUACACACCGCCCGUCAAGCCAUGGGAGCCGGGGGUACCUGAAGUGCGUAACCGCGAGGAGCGCCCUAGGGUAAAACUGGUGACUGGGGCUAAGU